UUUUGCAUAUCAAUAAGCGGAGGAAAAGAAAAUAACCAUGAUUCCCCCAGUAACGGCGAGUGAAGCGGGAAAAGCUCAAAUUUGAAAUCUGGCAACAUUUCUUUUGUUGUCCGAGUUGUAAUUUCAAGAGGCUGCUUUGAGUGUACACGAUUUACCUAAGUUCCUUGGAACAGGACGUCAUAGAGGGUGAGAACCCCGUCUUUGGUAAAUUGGGCGUAUGCCGGAUAAAGCGCUUUCGAAGAGUCGAGUUGUUUGGGAAUGCAGCUCUAAAUGGGUGGUAAAUUUCAUCUAAAGCUAAAUAUUGGCGAGAGACCGAUAGCGAACAAGUAGAGUGAUCGAAAGAUGAAAAGAACUUUGAAAAGAGAGUUAAAUAGUACGUGAAAUUGCUGAAAGGACGAAGCAUUGGAAACCAGUCUUACCCGGGUGAGAUCAGUUGUCUUUUCGCAAGACAAUGCACUCUGAACCUGUUGGUAGGUCAGCAUCAGUUUCUGGGGGUGGAAAAAGGAUUUAGGAAGGUACCUUUUCGGGUUUUGCUUGAAGAGGGUUUAUAGCCUAGAUUGUAAUACAUCCACUGGGGACUGAGGACUGCGAUCUUUAUGGUCAAGGAUGUUGACAUAAUGGUUUUCAAUGACCCGUCUUGAAACACGGACCCAACAGACCGG
rnacentral:rRNA from 1 species